rnacentral:rRNA from 1 species
CCUACGGGAGGCAGCAGUGGGGAAUAUUGGGCAAUGGGCGCAAGCCUGACCCAGCAACGCCGCGUGAAGGAAGAAGGCUCUCGGGUUGUAAACUUCUUUUAAGGGGGAAGAGCAGAAGACGGUACCCCUUGCAUAAGCCACGGCUAACUACGUGCCAGCAGCCGCGGUCAUACGUAGGUGUCAAGCGGUGUCCGGAUUUACUGGGUGUAAAGGGCGUGCAGCCGGGGAGACAAGUCAGAUGUGAAAUCCACGGGCUCAACCCGUGAACUACAUUUGAAACUGUUUCCCUUGAGUGUCGGAGAGGUAAUCGGAAUUCGUGGUGUAGCGGUGAAAUGCGUAGAUAUAAGGAAGAACACCGGUGGCGAAGGCAGAUUACUGGACGAUAACUGACGGUGAGGCGCGAAAGCGUGGGGAGCAAACAGGAUUAGAUACCCUUGUAGUC